GAUGAACGCUGGCGGCGUGCCUAAUACAUGCAAGUCGAGCGAACAGACGAGGAGCUUGCUCCUCUGACGUUAGCGGCGGACGGGUGAGUAACACGUGGAUAACCUACCUAUAAGACUGGGAUAACUUCGGGAAACCGGAGCUAAUACCGGAUAAUAUAUUGAACCGCAUGGUUCAAUAGUGAAAGACGGUUUUGCUGUCACUUAUAGAUGGAUCCGCGCAGCAUUAGAUAGUUGGUAAGGUAACGGCUUACCAAGGGAACGAGGCGUAGGCGACCUGGGAGGGUGGCCGGCCACACUGGAACUGCGACACGGUCCAGACUCCUACGGGAGGCAGCAGUAGGGAAUCUGCCGCAAUGGGCGAAAUCCUGACGGAGCAACGCCGCGGGAGUGAUGAAGGUCCUCGGAUCGUAAAACUCUGUUAUUAGGGAAGACCAAAUGUGUAAGUAACUAUGCACGUCGUGACGGUACCUAAUCAGAAAGCCACGGCUAACUACGUG
rnacentral:rRNA from 1 species